rnacentral:snRNA from 1 species
AUACUUACCUGGCAGGAGCGACAUCAUGAUCAUGAAGGUGGUUUGCUCAGGGUGAGGUAGUGAUGGCAAUCUGAAGCUUUCUGAAGCAACAAAGCUUUCAACACUAUUGUAUCGAAAAAAGGUUCAGAACUCGAAGCUUUUC